rnacentral:rRNA from 1 species
AUUGAACGCUGGCGGCAGGCCUAACACAUGCAAGUCGAACGAGUGGCGGACGGGUGAGUAAUGUCUGGGAAACUGCCUGAUGGAGGGGGAUCACUACUGGAAACGGUAGCUAAUCCCGCAUACCAUCGGAUGUGCCCAGAUGGGAUUAGCUAGUAGGUGGGGUAAAGGCUCACCUAGGCGACGAUCCCUAGCUGGUCUGAGAGGAUGCACAGCCACACUGGAACUGAGACACGGUCCAGACUCCUACGGGAGGCAGCAGUGGGGAAUAUUGCACAAUGGGCGCAAGCCUGAUGCAGCCAUGCCGCGUGUAUGAAGAAGGCCUUCGGGUUGUAAAGUACUUUCAGCGGGGAGGCGUUACCCGCAGAAGAAGCACCGGCUAACUCCGUGCCAGCAGCCGCGGUAAUUC